CCUUCGAAUCUUAGAUCAAAGAAACUCCGGCCAAAACGUCACCUUGCCCAAACACCACCAAAUUUACACCACAAGACUGCCUCCGUGUCCUCUAUCGAACCCCCUUAACCCCGUCCCUCGAAUCCUGCCGGAACUAUUCGAAUAUCAGUUUAAGUUUUUUCCGGCCAAAACCCUAGUCACACCAACUCGCCCCAAAAUGAUACCAUAUGUCCCUUGGGCCCUCCUCGUCAAGAAUUCAAUGUCAUUAACACUCAAUUCCCACCAGAGACGGCCGAAUUUGAAGUGUGAAAGUCAGCCGGACUUCGAGCCAUGGUACACAUUCUAAUCAUGUGUGAUGGAGCUGUGAAGUGAAGUAAUAAAAUGAAGUUUUCAUCCAUGCGAAUACCUGUAGUUUAAUUAGUAAUGCUUUAAUUUUAGUUCGUUGGAACUGUGUUGAAUUGGAACUAAUACUGGACUGUUCCGGGCUGUUUGAUCUCUGGUUAUUCAACAAUAGUUUUUUUUUUUUUAAAAUAGUAGGUAUUUCCUGAUUCUACUAGCCUCGUUCUGUUAAAAACUAAAAAUCAAAACAGUUUGUUAUUGCAGUAGGUAACAGGUAUUGAUGGAUGGAUAAUAGUUUAUUCUAGUUGUUACAGUUGUUAUCUAAUAAGUUGUGAAUAAAGUAAGUCCAGGUUAUUGGCCUGUUUAUGCUAGUGAAGUAUUUACGUAAUCAA